rnacentral:rRNA from 1 species
CCAAUAGCGUAUAUUAAAGUUGUUGCAGUUAAAAAGCUCGUAGUUGAAUUUCGGGGUUAGUAGGUUGGUCAUGCCUCUGGUAUGUACUGGUCUCACUGAUUCCUCCUUCCUGAUGAGCCGUAAUGCCAUUAAUUUGGUGUUGCGGGGAAUUUGGACUGUUACUUUGAAAAAAUUAGCGUGUUUAAAGCAAGCUAACGCUUGAAUACAUUAGCAUGGAAUAAUGAAAUAGGACGUUCGAUCCUAUUUUGUUGGUUUCUAGGAUUGACGUAAUGAUUAAUAGGGAUAGUUGGGGGCAUUAGUAUUCAAUUGUCAGAGGUGAAAUUCUUGGAUUUAUUGAAGACUAACUACUGCGAAAGCAUUUGCCAAGGAUGUUUUCAUUAAUCAAGAACGAAAGUUAGGGGAUCGAAGACGAUCAGAUACCGUCGUAGUCUUAACCAUAAACUAUGCCGACUAGGGAUCGGAUGAUGUUAAUUUUUUAAUGACUCAUUCGGCGCCUUACG